rnacentral:rRNA from 1 species
GUAGGGAAUAUUGGUUAAUGGGCGAAAGCCCGAACCAGCAACGCCGCGUGUGCGAUGAAGGCCUUCGGGUCGUAAAGCACUUUUAGAGAGGAAGAGGAAGGACGGUACUCUUUGAAUAAGCUUCGGCUAACUACGUGCCAGCAGCCGCGGUAACACGUAGGAAGCGAGCGUUAUCCGGAUUUACUGGGCGUAAAGCGCGUGUAGGCGGUCUGGUUAGUUGGAUGUGAAAGCUCCCGGCUUAACUGGGAGAGGUCGUUCAAUACUGCCAGACUUGAGAGUGGUAGAGGGAGAUGGAAUUCCGGGUGUAGUGGUGAAAUGCGUAGAUAUCCGGAGGAACACCAGUGGCGAAAGCGAUCUCCUGGACCAUUUCUGACGCUCAGACGCGAAAGCUAGGGUAGCAAACGGGAUUAGAUACCCCAGUAGUCC